rfam:Myotis lucifugus cont2.29441, whole genome shotgun sequence.
GGCGGUUCUCGGGUGACACACCCCAGAAUUGGGCUCCCUCCUCUCUGGUUCCAGGUGUGUCACCUAAGAACCGCA